rnacentral:lncRNA from 1 species
UCUACAUAGUUGGGAUCGGUCAACAUAUUUUUAUCUAUAGUGUUAUGCAGUGAAAAUAAAGAAACCAUAAUGUAGACUGAAAUUUGUAUAAAUAAAAAAUAAUAGUAUAAGCAAACCACUCAAGUUUGACAUGCAUAACUAGUUGAGGACUUUUAAAACUAGUUAUGUCUCUCACUAUUUUAUUUGAUAUCAUAGCCCUCUCCUAUGGC